GAUCAGUGAUGGAAUAGCCAAACCUGAGCAUCAAAAGGCCUUUGGAAAAUUCUCUCCAUAGUCUGAGA
rnacentral:snoRNA from 14 species